AGUAUUUACAGCAGUGAGAACAUGCAGUCCCUCCUCAGAUGAUUCCAAUAUGCCUUUAUAAAUGCAAGGUGGAGGUAGCUGUACUUCUCGCUCUAACUCCAGCCCCUCAGAGCAUCCUAUCGUUCUGGGAAGAACGCAGCAUCUAGAAUGAGCACACGAAUCAAACCUGGUUCCAGAACUCUUGAUUUGAGCAGAGUGAGGACCUCAGUCCCUCACUAACAGAUUUGGAAGCACAGACUGGUGUUUCAGCUGCCUUCCCACCUGUGAUCCAAUGAAAUUUGCUUGUCAAAAAAGAAUUUGGAUUCAAAGGGACCUGGGAAAGAAAGAAGAUAUAGGCCUCACUGAUGACAAGUAGAAAGAGUCCUGGGGAUCCUGGGCCCCCUCCAGCAUCAGAUGGCUCUAAUAGGGGCCUGACUGAAGCCAUCUAAACCAGGGAUGACAAGUAGAGAGAGUCCUGGGGGUCCAGGACCCCCUCCAGCAUCAGGGCCCUUAUAGGGGCCUGACUGAAGCCAUCUAAGCCAGGGAUAUAUUUUUUUUCCUCCAGUGUGACCUUCCCAGACCUGUCUGUCCGCCAUUGCUGAGCACAGAUCAGUCCUCAGCCACCCUUGCUGUUGCCUCUCCAGGGCUGGGAGGUGGAUCUCAGUCCGGACUCUCCACAGGGAUGAUGCUUGCAGAAACCUGAGCUCCUGUGGGAGAAAGCAAGAGGCUUGGGGUUCCAGCUCCCUGACCUCACUGGGACCCUCUACAUACCUGAGUGUAGCCCCAGCCUGCAUACUCCGACUUGAACUUGAUUCAAUACACCUGGGCCUCCAUGGCAUCUCCUCCUUCCCAUUAUUUUGGGUUUCCCUCCAGCUGGCACAGACAGCCUCAAAUCUCCUCCCCCUCCUUGUCUGGAGAGACUUCCCUGGUGUUCAAAGCAUAUGCUCAUUCUUUUACUGUCAGGGCCCACUGAACCCUUUGGAGUGUGAGACCCAUGAGCAAUGACAGGUUCUUCAGUUCAGGGCUCCAGUCAUAAGCCAAAGAUUAAGCUUGGCUGAACCUGGGUGAAGAAAGAAGUAGUGUUUCACACAUCUUUGUGAGCAUAGACACUAUAAUCAGCUCUCUACAAGGUCAUCCUGGAAAGCAAGGACAGGCCAGACACCUCCCGCUCUCCUCAGUGAUGAACAGAAGCAAUGGUGCAGAUAAUGCAGCCAAAUGGUGGGGGAUCCAAAAGCCAUUUGUAUUUGGCCUUAGGAGAUGUGCUUGUUUUGAGCAUGGGUAUCUGUGAAUCUCCCUGGAAGAUCAGUGUGCAUAUGCUGUGAUUGGGCUGAGCAGAGCCCCAGACGCAGGCUGAACUCUGGGAGACAUCUCCCAGCCAGCAGCAAGGGCAGCAGAAGAUGAAGAGGGCAGUUUAGAAGUUGUGCUGGCUAACACUGAUUGGCAAUAUGGCAGGAUCUAGAUUGGGUUGAGAUGGGAAGACCAGCCCUCAAAGUGAGUGGCACGAUUCCCUAGGCUGAGGUCCUAGUGUGAAUCAAAAGGAGAAAGUAUGCUAAACGCCAGUGUUCGCCUGUUUCCUAACUGUGGACACAGUAUGACCAGCUAGCUGCCUUCUUCCUCUUCUGCCAUUCUUCCCUGGGUGAUGAAAUCUGUCCUCAAACUAGGACUCAAGGUAAUUCUUCUCCUUUGUUGGCUAUUUUGUUGCAGCAAUUAGGAAAGAACCAAUACAUGGGGGGUUCUCCACCACCAGUACCACCCUUCCCUAGUCUAUCUCAUCCUCCUUGAUCUUGGCCAUAAAGCUGAACCCCGCAGACACUGUGCCCCAGGCUCCUCUGCCUUUUGGCUCCUAAAUAAACUUGAAACCUAGGAGAGAAGAAGCAGAGUGGGAGAAAGGCUACGAUAUUUCUUCUCUGCUUCCUGUUUGCUACGAUAACAUCUUUCUAUCUGUCUCUGUUCCCUUUUACUUCUUCCCUAGCUCUUGUUUUCACUCGGCUCCAGAGCCACCAUUCCCUCCCUGUCCUUUAGUCCCAAGAAUGGUGACAGAUCCUUACCAUGCACAUGGUCUCCUAACCUGCUCAUAUCUCUCUGAAUCAUUGCUCCAUAAGACCAUUUUCAUGGAGCCAUCUGGUCAAGCUCACUAUUUUUCAUCUGUAGUUCCACAAAGAGUAGGUCUGCAAUAGGGAGAUAUGGGGGUGAUGGACGGGUAUCUACAGGCCCUGCUCACAGCACAGGCCCUCACUAGCUGCCUCUUACCAAAGCAGUAACCUACCUUUGUUUAGUGGCCAGCCUGCCUGCAUAGUCAUACAGGGACAGUGAAGUGCACCCACCAGUAUUGGACACCAACUCAGUGUCCUCAUGUGGUCAUCCUGGAGGACACAGCUCUGCAGAAUGACAGCUUCCCUAGGAAACAGUUUCCAGUUUGCAAAGGAGAAACACCUUCAAGAGCCUCCUCUUCCAUGCUGUUCUCUCAAGACUGGGAUUGGGAAUAUGUCAGCUGCACAUUUGGAUGAUCAGCAGCUCUGUUGUCUUGGACCCUUAGCCUACUUUCCGAGAUCAUGAGUCAAGUUCUUCUUGCUCUGUCUGGCUCUUGUGGGGUUACAGCCUUAGCUGCCCAGCUUUGCUUCCAUCACAGUCUGACUGCAUUUCUCCUGUUGAUGGACAGAUGGGGUCUUUUUUAAUGUUUUGUUUUUAAUACAGAAUCUCAUGUAGCCCAGGCUGGCCUUAAGUUUACGAGGUUGCUGAGGAUGACCCUGGCCCCCACCUCUUAAACACUGGGAUUACACACAUGUGUUAACUGGCCAGACCUGUCCAUUUUUUUCCUGGCAGUUCUUAAACCUAGUUAUUGUCUAGAAUUUUCUAUUCCUUUCUUACCAUCACCUGUCCAGUUCUACACACCAAAGAUAUAUAGCUCAACCUCAUGUCACCUGCCUCCCCGACUCCCCAAGUCCUGCCAUAUCUUGGAAGUCAUCCCUGUUAGUCAGCUCCAUGAUGACCUCCCCCUGCAUCCCUGGAUCCACACUGCCUUUCACUCAAGCCACUCUACUCUGUGGCCUCUGAUGAUGCUUCCAAAUCUCUUCAGCGGCCUCAGUGACAUUGAAUACAAAGACACAGUCCUGGCCCAUGUCCCCUCACACCAUCAGGCCCUGUACUCUGUGCUUCUCCCCACACCAUGCUGUGUGCCACCACCCAGCCCUGCACAGUUCUCUGCUGGUUCCCAAAGACCACAGCACUCUUUUACCUGCUCCACUCCCAGUCAUCCUUCAGACACCACAGCUAAUUUCUACUCCUUUGGACUAGGCCAGGUCCCCAGGUAAGUAGAGAGACUAGAACCUUCCUGCAGAAUACCCAUCACAGUUUGUAAGGAGACAUGCACUCCCAGCCCCCAGACAGUGGUCUCUGUAAAACUAGGACCAUCCUUGGUGAUUGGUGGCCACCAUCACAUCUCAGUGACCUGGUAAUGGCAGCAUCUCAGGACUGAGUAUGCAUUGUCCACUGAAUGCCACAGACGGAGGGGACUGCUGGUACAGGCCUGUUAAUCAGCUAUUCUGGAGGCUGAGAGAGAGAAAAAAAAAAGAUUACAGAUUCAGCUUGGGCCACGCAGUGAGUUCCAGUGACUUAACAAGACCUUGUCUCAGGGUUAGAAAGGAAAGAGGAGUGGAGCUGGGGCCCUGACUCAGUGGUAGAAGGCUUGCCUAGCUCAUGCAAGGCCCUGAGUCCAAUUGCCAGCAUGGGUAAAAAGAGAUAACCUCAGAGAAAACUCGUGGCAAGCUAGUCAUGCUAUUUUCUCCUCACUCCUUAAGAUAAUCCUCCAAAAUGGGAGUUUUCAAAGAUGUAGACCAGUGGUUUUCAACCUUCCUAAUGCUUCAACCCUUUGAUACAGUUUUCAUGCUGUGGUGACCUCCCCCCUCCCCGCAACCAUAAAAUUAUUCUUGUUGCUGCUUC
rnacentral:lncRNA from 1 species